AAUCCAUGGUGAGGACACCUUCUCAACAAAUUCUUGAUUCUCUCCCAUGUAUCAUAAAGAAUCUCAAUAUCAAUUUGAACAGAGGAAGAGAUGUCACUCCUCAAUGAGAAU
rnacentral:snoRNA from 1 species